rnacentral:misc_RNA from 1 species
AAAUGCGAUAAGUAAUGUGAAUUGCAGAAUUCCGUGAAUCAUCGAAUCUUUGAACACACAUUGCGCCCUCUGGCAUUCCGGGGGGCAUGCCUGUCCGAGCGUCAUUACGCACCCUCAAGCCCGGCUUGUGUGAUGGGCCCCGGCGUCUCGUUCGCGAGACGGGCCCGAAAGGCAGCGGCGGCGUCGACCCGAUGAGCCCGAGCGUAUGGGGACUUCUGUCACACGUUCGCGGUGCGGACCGGCGCCUGCUUUGACUUUUCUGAUUAUCCAGGUUGACCUCGGAUCAGGUAGGGAUACCCGCUGAACUUAAGC